rnacentral:rRNA from 1 species
GGUGCUGCGAUGGUUGUCGUCAGCUCGUGCGUGAGUGUCGGGUUAAGUCCCAUAACGAGCGCAACCCCUGCAUUCAGUUGCCAUCGGGUAAUGCCGGGCACUCUGGAAGGACUGCCAUCGACAAGAUGGAGGAAGGUGGGGAUGACGUCAAGUCAUCAUGGCCCUUAUGUCCAGGGCGACACACGUGCUACAAUGGCCGGCACAACGGGAAGCGAGUUCGCGAGGACGAGCGGAUCCCUCAAAGCCGGUCGCAGUUCGGAUUGAAGUCUGCAACUCGACUUCAUGAAGCUGGAAUCGCUAGUAAUCGUGGAUCAGCCAAGCCGCGGUGAAUACGUUCCCGGGCCUU